rnacentral:rRNA from 1 species
UACGGGGGGGGGCAAGCGUUUAUUCGGAUUUACUGGGCUUAAAGAGUUCGUAGGCGGCUUGGAAAGUGGGGUGUGAAAGCCCUCGGCUUAACCGAGGAAUUGCGCUCCAAACUACCGAGCUUGAGGAGGCUAGAGGUGAGCAGAACUGAUGGUGGAGCGGUGAAAUGCGUUGAUAUCAUCAGGAAUACCGGAGGCGAAGGCGGCUCACUGGGACCUUUCUGACGCUGAGGAACGAAAGCUAGGGGAGCAAACGGG